GACGAACGCUGGCGGCGUGCUUAACACAUGCAAGUCGAACGGAAAGGCCCUGCUUUUGUGGGGUGCUCGAGUGGCGAACGGGUGAGUAACACGUGAGUAACCUGCCCUUGACUUUGGGAUAACUUCAGGAAACUGGGGCUAAUACCGGAUAGGAGCUCCUGCUGCAUGGUGGGGGUUGGAAAGUUUCGGCGGUUGGGGAUGGACUCGCGGCUUAUCAGCUUGUUGGUGGGGUAGUGGCUUACCAAGGCUUUGACGGGUAGCCGGCCUGAGAGGGUGACCGGCAACAUUGGGACUGAACUACGGCCCAGCCUCCACCGGGAGGCAGCAGGGGGGAAGAUUGCACAAUGGGCGGAAGCCUGAUGCAGCAACGCCGCGUGCGGGAUGCGGGCCUUGGGUUUGUAACCCGCUUUCGCCUGUGACGAAGCGGGAGUGACGGUAAUGGGUAAAGAAGCACCGGCUAACUACGUG
rnacentral:rRNA from 1 species